rnacentral:lncRNA from 1 species
ACGAGCUGAUAUGGCGCUUAUGUGGACCAAAAAUUGCCACAUGGAAAAUAAUAUAUAAAAAAAAACAAAAAAAGCUAAUUCUUCUUCUUCCUCACCCUUCUCUCUCUCCCUACGUUCUCUCUCUUCUCUCUUAUCUCUCUCUCGCUCUCCUCCGGCGGACUUCGCCGGUUUUCGCCGCCUCCGGCGCCGCGAGGCCGGCGCCUUUUCUUCUCCCUCUUUCCUUCCUCCAUUUUCCCCACCGGCCAAACCCUAAUUUCAGUCGCCGCCCAC